GUGAAAACCAGCCCAUAUAUAGUGGGCUAAUGGGCCAAGCCUAACGUGGCCGGCCCAUCUGGAGUCCCUGAUCACCAGCUGAGGCGGUUACAACCGCCUGACAGCCACGAUCACCACCACCACCCUCCUCUCUUCCGACCAAGAGCUAUAAAAGCUCAGGGAUUCCUCAGCGAGGGACUCAGUAGAUCACCCUCUCACCGCCCUCACUCCCUCUUUCUUCUGCUACAAAGAACUGAAGCAUGAGUGGUGGC
rnacentral:lncRNA from 1 species